rnacentral:rRNA from 1 species
GAUGAACGCUGACAGAAUGCUUUACACAUGCAAGUCAACUUGAAUUUGGUUUUUUAACUUAGAUUUGGGUGGCGGACGGGUGAGUAACGCGUAAAGAACUUGCCUCACAGUUAUGGACAACAUUUAGAAAUGAAUGCUAAUACCUGAUAUUAUGGCUAUAGGGCAUCCUAUAAUUAUGAAAGCUAUAAGCACUGUGAGAGAGCUUUGCGUUCCAUUAGCUAGUUGGAGAGGUAACAUCUCACCAAGGCGAUGAUGGGUAGCCGGCCUGAGAGGGUGAACGGCCACCACGGGACUGAGACACGGCCCUUACUCCUACCGGAGGCAACUUGGGGAAUAUUGGACAAUGUACCGAGAGUCUGAUCCUCCAUUCUGUGUGCACGAUGAAGUUUUUCGGAAUGUAAACUGCUUUCUGUUGGGAAGAAAAAAAUGACCGUACCAACAGAAUAAGUGACGGCUACCUACGUGA